UACGUAGGGUGCAAGCGUUGUCCGGAAUUAUUGGGCGUAAAGAGCUCGUAGGCGGUUUGUCGCGUCUGCUGUGAAAACUCGGGGCUUAACUCCGGGCCUGCAGUGGGUACGGGCAGACUAGAGUGUGGUAGGGGAGACUGGAAUUCCUGGUGUAGCGGUGAAAUGCGUAGAUAUCUGGAGGAGCACCGGUGGCGAAGGCGACAUCCUGGACCGGCAUUGACGCUGAGGCGCGAAAGCCAGGGGAGCAAACGGG
rnacentral:rRNA from 1 species